UACGUAGGCAGGAAGCGUUGUCCGGAAUUAUUGGGCGUAAAGAGCUCGUAGGCGGCCUGUUGCGUCCGCUGUGAAAUCCCGGGGCUCAACCCCGGGCCUGCAGUGGAUACGGGCUGGCUGGAGGCAGGCAGGGGAGAACGGAAUUCCUGGUGUAGCGGUGAAAUGCGCAGAUAUCAGGAGGAACACCGGUGGCGAAGUCGGUUCUCUUGGCCUGUUCUGACGCUGAGGAGCUAAAGCGUGGGGAGCGAACAGG
rnacentral:rRNA from 1 species